GAAUAAAUUGGAACGAGGUUGAGGGUUGGAGUGGAAUUGGAGUAAUAUGGAACACGGUUGGAGUGGAAUUGGAGUAUUAUGGAGCCAGGUUGAGGGUUGGAGUAAUUUGGAACGAGGUUGAGGGUUGGAGUAAUUUGGAACGAGGUUGGGGGUUGGAGUAAUUUGGAACGAGGUUGAGGUUUGGAGUAAUUUGGAACGUGGUUGAGGGUUGGAGUGGAAUUGGAGUAAUAUGGAACGAGGUUGAGGGUUGGAGUAAUUUGGAACGAAGUUGAGGGUUGGAGUGGAAUUGGAGUAAUAUGGAGCCAGGUUGGGGGUUGGAGUAAUUUGGAACGAGGUUGAGGUUUGGAGUAAUUUGGAACGUGGUUGAGGGUUGGAGUCAUUUGGAACGAGGUUGAGGGUUGGAGUCAUUUGGAACGAGGUUGAGGGUUGGAGUAAUAUGGAACAAGGUUGAGGGUUGGAGUAAUAUGGAACACGGUUGAGGGUUGGAGUAAUAUGGAACACGGUUGAGGGUUGGAGUAAUAUGGAACACGGUUGAGGGUUGGAGUAAUUUGGAACGAGGUUGAGGGUUGGAGUGGAAUUGGAGUAAUAUGGAACAAGGUUGGAGUGGAAUUGGAGUAUUAUGGAGCCAGGUUGAGGGUUGGAGUAAUUUGGAACGAGGUUGAGGGUUGGAGUAAUUUGGAACGAGGUUGAGGGUUGGAGUAAUUUGGAACGAGGUUGAGGGUUGGAGUAAUAUGGAACACGGUUGAGGGUUGGAGUAAUAUGGAACACGGUUGAGGGUUGGAGUCAUUUGGAACGAGG